AGCAGCCGCGGUAAUUCCAGCUCCAAUAGCGUAUAUUAAAGUUGUUGCAGUUAAAAAGCUCGUAGUUGAACUUCGGGGUCUACCCAUUGGUCAGGCUUAAUUGUCUGCACUGGUGAGAUGGAUCUCUACCUUCUGAGGAACUUUCAUGCCAUUUAUUUGGUGUGGUUGGAAAUCAGGACUGUUACUUUGAAAAAAUUAGAGUGUUUAAAGCAGACUAUCGUCUGAAUACAUUAGCAUGGAAUAAUGAAAUAGGACGGACUGAUUCUAUUUCGUGGUUUCUAGGAUCACCGUAAUCGAUUAAUAGGGAUAGUUGGGGGCAGUUAGUA
rnacentral:rRNA from 1 species